CCUGACUGCUAUCGGAUUGAUACUAAGCCAUGCGAGUCAUUGUAGCAAUACAAGGCAUACGGCUCAGUAACGCGUAGUCAACCUAACCUAUGGACGGGAAUAACCUCGGGAAACUGAGGAUAAUGCCCGAUAGAACACUAUACCUGGAAUGGUUUGUGUUCCAAAUGAUUUAUCGCCAUAGGAUGGGACUGCGGCCUAUCAGUUUGUUGGUGAGGUAAUGGCCCACCAAGACUAUUACAGGUACGGGCUCUGAGAGGAGUAGCCCGGAGAUGGGUACUGAGACACGGACCCAGGCCCUAUGGGGCGCAGCAGGCGAGAAAACUUUGCAAUGUGCGAAAGCACGACAAGGUUAAUCCGAGUGAUUUGUGCUAAACGAAUCUUUUGUUAGUCCUAGAAACACUAACGAAUAAGGGGUGGGCAAGUUCUGGUGUCAGCCGCCGCGGUAAAACCAGCACCUCAAGUGGUCAGGAUGAUUAUUGGGCCUAAAGCAUCCGUAGCCGGCUCUGUAAGUUUUCGGUUAAAUCUGUACGCCUAACGUACAGGCUGCCGGGAAUACUGCAGAGCUAGGGAGUGGGAGAGGUAGACGGUACUCGGUAGGAAGUGGUAAAAUGCUUUGAUCUAUCGAUGACCACCUGUGGCGAAGGCGGUCUACCAGAACACGUCCGACGGUGAGGGAUGAAAGCUGGGGGAGCAAACCGGAUUAGAUACCCGGGUAGUCCCAGCUGUAAACUAUGCAAACUCAGUGAUGCAUUGGCUUGUGGCCAAUGCAGUGCUGCAGGGAAGCCGUUAAGUUUGCCGCCUGGGAAGUACGUACGCAAGUAUGAAACUUAAAGGAAUUGGCGGGGGAGCACCACAAGGGGUGAAGCCUGCGGUUC
rnacentral:rRNA from 1 species